GACGAACGCUGGCGGCGUGCUUAACACAUGCAAGUCGAACGGAAAGGCCCCCAUCUUGGUGGGGGUGCUCGAGUGGCGAACGGGUGAGUAACACGUGGGUGAUCUGCCCUGUACUUCGGGAUAAGCUUGGGAAACUGGGUCUAAUACCGGAUAGGACCAUGGUUUAGUGUCUCAUGGUGGAAAGAUUAUUGUUUUGGUGCAGGAUGAGCUCGCGGCCUAUCAGCUUGUUGGUGGGGUAAUGGCCUACCAAGGCGUCGACGGGUAGCCGGCCUGAGAGGGUGGACGGCCACAUUGGGACUGAGAUACGGCCCAGACUCCGACGGGAGGCAGCAGUGGGGAAUAUUGCACAAUGGGAGCAAGCCUGAUGCAGCGACGCCGCGUGGGGGAUGACGGCCGUCGGGUUGUAACCUCCUUUCGUUAGGGACGAAGCCGCACUUUUUUUGGGUGUGGUGACGGUACCUUUGUUAAGAAGCACCGGCUAACUACGUG
rnacentral:rRNA from 1 species